rnacentral:misc_RNA from 1 species
GAUGAAGAACGCAGCGAAAUGCGAUAAGUAGUGUGAAUUGCAGAAUUCAGUGAAUCAUCGAGUCUUUGAACGCACAUUGCGCCCCCUGGUAUUCCGGGGGGCAUGCCUGUCCGAGCGUCAUUGCUGCCCUCAAGCACGGCUUGUGUGUUGGGCUCCGUCCCCCCGGGGACGGGUCCGAAAGGCAGCGGCGGCACCGAGUCCGGUCCUCGAGCGUAUGGGGCUUUGUCACCCGCUCUGUAGGCCCGGCCGGCGCCAGCCGACAACCAAUCAUCCUUUUUUCAGGUUGACCUCGGAUCAGGUAGGGAUACCCGCUGAACUUAAGCAUAUCAAUAAGCGGAGGA